AGGGCGCUUGGCUGGGGCUGCUCGCUCGGGUUCUGCCUGUUGUUGCGCGAAAUGGCGGCUGGCGUCUUGGUGAAAGUACACUGAAGGAAGACUUGCUUAAAUCUGAAGAGGGAGACAGGCUCAGUCACUCAAACUACAGUGGUUCCAGAAUCUGUAAUGUAGACAGGAUAAGGAUUUUUUUCUGUGCAGUUAAUGCUGUGCCUUUUUUACUGGUUUCUCAGGGGAAAAGACUCAACAUGUUGAAUCACAGAGAUGUUACUUCCUGCUGGGUUUUGGGAUUUCCUUGCAGCUCUCCCCUCCAUGGCUGCAGGAGAUGUUUUUGCAUAGAACAUGUUCUAAGGCAGGAACUUGCUGGACAUGAAGACAGAAGCCAACCAGUUCUGUGCUGAAUGUAAUAGUUUCUGACUCAAAUUGUGUGGUAAUUGUCAGAAUAUCAUAGGGUGUUGUAAGAACUGCUGUGUUGAACAUGGCUGAGGAUUUAUUCUUUCAUAAUUUGCCUAAAUGAGUAUAAGAUGCUAUCUGAAUUAACAUAUGAAAGUGGGGGGAAAGAUUUCUUGAUGUUUUCUAGCCACUUGAAACCUGAUUGUGUGCAAAAAUAAAUUUCAGUAUGCUGAAGUAGUCAUGGGUUUUUUGCCCACUUGCUCAAUCUUAAGUCCCAUUCUUUCUGAUUUCCCACAGAAAGUAAGAAAAGCUACUUGCUGUAGCUUCAAAAAUAUUAACAAAAUACUGUGAGCACUGGCAAUAUGAUAGGGUUUCAAAUUACUAUCAAUUUCACUAGGAAUUAAAAACAUGUAAUCCUGGAAGUUAUGGUAGUAAAAUGAUAUCAAGUAUUUUGACAUACAUACCUGCUUCAUACAGCUUGCUUUCCUCAUAGAAGAGAAGUAUUCCUAGCAGCUUGUUACUGUACUGAGUUUCGGUGUCAAGUAUAAGAUUGGCACAUUUACUAUGAAGACAAACUUUAAGAGAAUUCAUAUGAACUCUACUUCAGCAAUUGUUUUUGAUAAACCAGGUCUUGCAGCUCCAAGAGGCAAACAGGAAAGGGAUGGAGGAGUUGUAGUUAAAUUUGCAGGCAGAUCAACUCCAGUUGGAGUUAAGCUCUCUGAAUAUGGAAUAGUGUCAAACAGUGCAACACUCCUGUAUCCCUUUUCUUCAAAAAUGGCUUCAGAUAUGCUUUUUACCCUGCAGUGCUAGAGGAGAGUUCUGGAUUUCUCUCUUGUGUUUUAACCUCUGCUGUACAUUGUCCAAUCCUUGUUCCGCAAACAGUUCCAUUUGUUGGACUGUCCUCUGAUGCUGUUUGGAGAAAAGAGAAAGAGUUGAUCUAUAGAUGAGUAUCUAAAAUAUGGGACUUCAGAGGACUGCCUGACGUAUUUAAACCUAAUGACUUAGGUUUAACAUCUAGAAAAGCCACUUCACAGGAUAACCCUUCCCAGCACAUUCCAUGAUAAUGUUUCCAGUGCCUUUGAGUUUUUGUCCUGGGCUCUAAUGAUCCUAGGAUGUGAACUGUCCCCUAAAACACUAUCAGAAGUGCAACUUCUGAUAUAAUUUUAAAUAAGUGAAUCUUCCAUCCCUUGAUGUAGUUCUUGCUGGAUUAAAAAAAGUCCAUGUGUUUUAAUUAGGUACAGUCUGUGUGCCUAAUUUGAUGUAAAAAAUGCUUGAAAAAAUAUUAAUGAAAAUUUUCCCUAAUGGUGGAUGAGAGACAUGUAAACUACUGUUAGACUCUGUGUGUGUGUGACUGACUGUUUGUUAAAGGAAAAGCAUGUUUUCAGAGUGUGGUUUUUGGACUUCCAGACAGAUUACACAAACUCAAGGAGGCCCAGCCCACAUCCUGUGUAGAAAACCAGCUCACAGAAAUGCUCAUUGUUCUUCAGGGUUAUAAGUCACUGUAUUUUGGGCCUCCCUUGUAUUUCAAAAUAUUGUAUGGAAAAUACUAAUGCAAAGGAGCCACAGCAGCUUAACAAGUGCUUGGUCCUGCCAGGUACUGAGCACUGUGCUCUUACCAGCAGGCUGGGGGACGGGGAUUAAAACAUUAGGCUCCCUGGCUAGAGAACAAAGAGUUUGUGUUGGUAAAAGUAGCUGAGAGUAUUUAUCAGGUGAGUAAAUCAAUUGAUAAUUCACAUACUUUCAACCUGAAAGUUUUUUGUGUGCAGCCAUGCCAGUAUUUACUAUCCUGGAGUGGGAGUUACAGGAUAUGAAGUUUUCUUCAAGCAGGGUGAGUUCUCCAUGACACUGAUUCACCUCUGCUCAGUCUUCACUGCAGAAAGAGAGAAUGUGGGGUGUCCAGAUCUGAUACCCCACCAGGAAGUGCUUAGUGUUUCUGAGUCUCUACCCAUGCUUAUUGCUGGGUUGUGUUUUUCAGCCUGCAAGCUAAUGGACCUAUUCAUGAAGGGAGCUACCAAGUCAAAACCACUAAAACCUAUUGACUCUUCCCUUUUUUGAAUGUUCAUUAUCAUCUUGGAGGUUAUUUUUUAAAAAGCUGAGGUGCUUUCAUUUUUAACUUUUAAACAGGAAUAGUGUUCCAAUGUUAAUUUUAAACCACUUGUAUUAUGUUUUCCUUACUUCAAAAAAGCAACAGCUUAUAUUUUUUGCUAGAGUUCAGUACCCAUUUAAGACUAAAAUAUUUGUUACGAUAAUACAGAUGUAUCUAAGCAGAAGGCUGCCACGAGGGUGCCCUGCUUUUCUACAGCCCGCUGAAAGGAAUCACUUCCCUUUAGUCUCUGCCAGUCUCCUGACUGUGCAGCACUCCCAAAACAUGUGGACCAUAAAAUGGGAUUAUAGGGGAGGCAUUCAAGUAAACAGAAGUUCCCUUGGGAUGAGAUUUGCUUUUUCAUGCAGAGCUGCUGUGUGCUAUAGCCUGGCACUGGAGUGAACUCUCUUGGUGACCCCAAGGGUGGGAGAGCACCCAGGCCAUCCUCGUGUUUCGGGAAUAGUUUCUCCUAGCCCAAUAAAGUCCUCCUUUGCAGUGUUUUUGGAAGGACACACCCAAGUGCAAGUUUCUUUCUGUGUCUCUUCAGUGUCUCUUUGUAACAAUAAAUGACCGGUCUCAUGAUGCAGCUACAGCUGCCAGAAAUCUGCAGUGAAUGUACAGCUGUAUCAGUCAUUAAUUGCACAGUAUUGCUGAAGCAGCCCAAUGCUUUUGUGAGAUGUGUUCAAGGGUAAGUAGCUGCUUAAAGAUAAAAACCUUUGUGCUUCCAUAGAAGCACACAGUUACAUUGGUGGAUAAUACUGUAUUUCUGUGAUUGCAUGGUCCUGUUCAGCCUGAAAGUAUGCAACCUGGGCAGGCUCAGUCUGCAAUUUGAGUACUUACGAAUUCUUUGUUGAGACUAAAUUGUGUUGGCCUCAGCAGGGAGCAUUUCCAGACCAUCCAUCCUGGCCUAAAUAAGUCAUUGUUGCUCCACAGGAUGAUGCUGUGUGGGAUAUCAGGGCACAAAGCCUUCAGACUUGUGUUCAUUUCACUGUAGCUAUGUUUCAUAUUUUGAAAGAACUCGCCACAAAUGGAUGUUGACCUUCUGUCUCUCCAGUGGCUGCUAGUCACCAGAAGAACAAUUCAGUCAGUAGUGUUCCCCUUAUCAUAGACUCAUAGAAUGGUCUGAUUGGAAGGGAUCUUAAAGAUAUCUAAUUCUACCCCCUGCCAUGGACAGGGACCCCUUCCCCUGCACCAAAUUACUCAGGGCCCCAUCCAGCCUGCCCUUGCACACUUCAGAGGUGGGACAUCCGCAGCUUCUCUGUACAGCCUGUUCUUGUGUUUCACCACUCUCACACUAAAGUAUUUCUUCCUGAUACCUAAUCUAAACUUGCCCUCUUUCAGAUUGAAGCCAUUCCCCCUUGUCCUAUCACUACAUGCUCUUGUAGGAAGUCCCUUUCUGGUUUUUCUGUAGGGUCCCUUCGUAUACUGGAAGACUCCUUGUUGCCAUUAGCAAGGCUUCAGAUGCUGGUGGCCUUGUCUUGGCUUCCUGGAGGUGCUGCUCUGUACCACAGCAUGGCUGCUUUUGUGCAGGGGGAAAGCUGCAAUUGUAAAUACUGUCCUUAAAAGAGCAGGAAUUCAUAAAUUCCCUUAGGUGCCUGUAUUCCAGAUGUGGCCUGUGCUUAUGUCCUUGAUGUGCUACUGGGUGUUAGUGAGGAAUAUGAUAAGAGAUCCCUCCAGACUGGAGGACUGCCCUCUACAUUUGGUCAGCCUUAUUUGUACUGACUUUAACUUUCUUUAGAGGUGACUCAGAACAGAAACUGUUAAUCUUCUUGUAAUUGUGAAGCUUUGAACCAAUAGCAGCAGUGAGAAUUUUCAGUUAUCUGAAGAAAUGCAUACAUCAGAAAUUUUUGGGUUUUUUCUGCACCUGGUACAAAGAAGUAGAACGGCCCUGGGAAGUGGCAAGACAACCCAGUUCCUGCUGCUGUCAAAAGCAGCACAUCCAUUCAUUUGUGUACCUCCUUUUGUAACCAAAGCACAGAAUUAUUUGCUAUGGGUUCUAAACCAGGAGUCGCUAUUCUUUCUCUUGUUUGGUUUCUUUUUAAAGCCUUUUGGCUUUAUUGGGGAGCAUGCUUACAAAAUUAAGGCAGGUAAAUUUGGGGCCUGUAUCUCACACCACAGGUGACUGCACUCAGGAGUAAUGUCAUUGUCACAGCUGUACACAGCUUUUUUUUCUAGAGGGUCAGAUUCUCUGCCGUCAUAUAUAUGUUGGAUAUAAAUGAAAGAAAGGCUGACUUAAUUUGAUGGCAGACUGUUAAUAAGAGUAGUGGUUAUUUGAAGACUGCUUAAUCCUAUUUAAGGUUGGGAUUUUUUUGGAAAGUCUGAUUUAUGGGUGUAUUUUGUACCAGCACCCAUUUAAGAGCUGGGUCUGAAUAAAUCUGUCAUUUGCUGCAUCUCCAUUGGUAUUUUCAUCACAUCUUAACUGUAUGAGAGUUAAACAGGAUCAUUAAAUAAAAUUUUCUGAAGGUCAAGGAGCUGAAUUAAUAUUUUUAAUACCUGCAGGUUUUAGGAAAACAUGCUGAAUUAUGAGGGGAAGUACCAACUUAUUUAAUAACUGUAUUUUUCUAAUAAAUAUAGAUGAUAUAACUGCAGGGAACUGAAAAUGUCAUGUCAGUAACAGUAGCACCUGCUUGUAUUUAAUUUAAUUUGUGUGUGGGAUUGUUUAUGUUGUAGAAAAUGGCAGUUUAGGAACAAGCUUUUGGGGGGAAUGAUACGUUGCCAAGGCUGCAAUAUUUUGUAUUACACUGUACAGACGCUGUAUCAUAACUCAGAGUAUUUGUUAGCUUCCUUCCCUUUGCAGUGCACCUGCUUACCACUGCUGUCAGGAAGGUGAAGUUGCAGUGAGCUGGGUCAGCAGGAGAAACCUCACUUUCCUUGCAGUGUUUGAUCAAUGCCUGUGUAGCUCUGUGAAUGACUUGUUACAGAGUCAAGUAGGUGCCAGUGCAAGGGAAGCAGGAGGGGCAAUUUCCUGAUUUGGCAGCAGUUGGCAGUCAGAUUGGCUUUAUGAUUUCAUGAAGUCCUGUCUGUAAGUUAUGCCCCCAUCUGUAACUAUCUGGAAAGCCGUGGUUGUUGAAGGCUUUGCUUCCCUGCUGCCAAGUGGCACCCAUCUCCUGAGCAGUGCCACUGUUGGUCAGCUGCUUGACAAAAAGGUAGGUAGGGGACACAGACUUGGCUGUCUGUGAGCUUCUAGGAUCUGGUUAGAGAUUUCUAUGACUGAUGGAGGGAGAACUGCUUAACAUGUCAAGUUCAAAUGGGCCUGUGUGUUCACAUUACAAGAUGAAAUAUGUGACUCAAAAGAAGCAUUAGCUCAGACCUGGGCAGCUGCAAUGUUCUGUAAAAUAAAAGAAUCCACAUAGUAGAAAGACAGAUACAGGAAUGCCUUGCCAAGACAGUUGGUAAUGCACUAUUACCAACUGUAACACAGGGGAAGGAAAAAAAAAAAAGGGGGAGAUUUAGCAAUCCCAGGCAGUUUAUUUGGAUCAUUAGACUGGUGUCAGAGUACUGUGAAAUUUUUGGACUGGGGUAAGACAGUAGAAGGUCACCAUCACCUUGGAAAAAGAGAAAAAAAGGCCCCAAGCAGUGUCUCUCCAAGAACCUGGCUUUUUACUAUCUGCUGUUACAAGUGACACUAGAAAUUACUAAAACUGGAAGAAAUUAGACAAACCAAACCCUUUCUUGUUUUCUGGUUAGCGCCAUUGUUAGCAUUCUUGGCAGAACUUCACAGACACUUUCUGUGGUUUUUCUGCUUGGCUGCACUUCCUGUCUCGUUUAUUGGCAUAAUGAUGUCAUUCUCACACACCACUGGGGAGGAGCACAGUGGUGGGCUCUGCCCCAACUCCUGCAAGAAAAGCUUUUCGUGCCCCUGCAAGAAGACCUUGCUCCUGUUCUGAUGGCUAAAAUCCAAAUGGAAGAUCCCUUUUGUGAGCCUCCCUUGGAUGGAAGUGGGUGGCAGAGCAGGAGGAAGAGGCAGGAGAAGUGCCAUGUCAUGUCAUCUUUAGUAGGAAGCUCCUUACAGGAACAUCUGCGUUCAGCUAAUAUGGGUGAGCACCUGGAGCCUGCGUAGCUCUGUGUGCGCCUUCAGAGCCUGUGUGGUGCUGUAGAAGUGAAGGCAGGGGUAGGGAAUAUCCUUUCCCUAAGCAAACAACGCAGUGAAAAGCAGGAAUGAGAGCUUCAAACACAUCCCUGCUCCUCUGGCUGGGCAGCCCUGCUCUUGGGAGGAAAGCACUGAGAAAGUCCUGUUUGCCCAGUGCUCUUUCAUAGCCCAGAAGAGCAGCAGGGUUUGUUUCUCUGGUUCUCCUGCCUGUCCCAAGAAGGCAGCACAGAUCAAGCAGUUUGUCCUUGAGGGAUGUUGCUGCGGGAGAGAGAGGAAUGUGGCUUCAAGAGGGGGAGCAGGUGGCUCUGCAACCCUGGGGAGCAGCCUGGGCCUGCUCCUUGGUGAGGUCUGUACCUGUGCACAGGCUGGGUUGUGCUGUGUAAGCUCCAUUAUGCAGGGAGCUUUAAAGUGGUAGAAAUCGGUGUGUUAAAAUGAACUUGGGAAAACUUAAAUGUGGCUCAAAGGGGCUCUUCCAGCAUGAGUCAUCUGCAGCUGUGGAGCAGCCCUGGGCAGAGCCUUCUUCCCCACUGCUGAAUGGAGCUGUCAGAGUGCUGGGAGCCAGGGCAGGGAGGAAAAAGACCCCAAUUCAUUUCCGAACAAGGUAUGCAUGGGAGAAUUCCCCACGGGGGCACUGGUGAGGGCUUGUGGCUCUGUUUUUCAGUCCCUCAGCUCCACAUAAGAACGUUUGCAGCUUGAAACACCCUAAGCCCAUCCCCAGGAAGCAGACAAUGGUGUUGAUAUGCCUGUUGCUGCAGAGGAAGUGGCUUCUGUUAUAACCAACAAGCAAUCUGCCAAAGUCCAUAUUUGGGUGGUUGCCAGAAUAAAUUUGACAUAAACUAUUUUGUCUCUUUGGCUUUUGUCUUGUCUGGAAAUGUUCCUUUUGCUUCCUAACAUUAAAAUCUCACCUGUGGCAUACACACACCCUCCCCCUCCCCCAACAAAAAAGUAAUACAGACUUCGAAAUUUUUCAUACAGAACCCAGUCUUUAUUUAACAGAUGAUGAAAAUAUUCUUAAAUGCUUUCAGGAGGGUAGCAAAACUGAAGAUAAACCAAAACUGAAGCUAUGGUGUUGCUCAGGGCUUUUGUGAUGCUGUUGGAAAUAUGACAUAUUGCAGAAAAGACAGUCUGUGGAAGUUGGACUCGAGAUGUUGGAGGCAUUAGGCGCCCUCUUGUGCUGUUUUUCUGGGAGCAGUGUAAGGUGAGCAGCUUCCCGGGAGCAGAGGCUGAGCCAAGCUUCAGCCUUGGUUUUAGUUUAGUUUGGGGGGUAACUGGUGUGUGCUUUGGCACAUAAUCAUGAUCCAGCAUGGUUCUGAUGGGUAGGAGUUGUUGGUGGGUCUGCAAACUUCACCCUAGCUAUACAGUGUGGCCAUUAAAAAUGAAGCUUUGAACAGAAAAAAAGAGACUGAGACUUAUAUCUUCCAAAAGACAAAAAUAAAUCUUUAGAUUCACACAAAAGUAGCAAUGUCUGCUAAGUACUAAAUUUCUCUGAUGGGCCAGAUUUUAAGUUGAAUUUCAAACUGACUGUUAAUAAUGUGAUGCAAGUUUAGAUUCUUGUUUGUUGGUAGAUUGUGCUGUAUGUUUAUAAUCAUUCACCUCUUUGGGCUGUAAUAGUAUCAGGAAAAUGUGCUGCAUCUCCUUGGAAGUCAGUUGUGGAUCUAGUCGCAUACUUUUUCAGAUUGCUCGCUGCAAUUGUCUGAAAAUACCUAAUUUCUCCAGAUACCAGACCAUAAGCAGAAGUGCAAACUUCAGUGUAAAUGAGGUACAUCAAUUUGCAAAGUUAACUAAAAAGCUAUGUCAGAUCUGAAAACAUGGGUCUUUGGUGACUUAAUGCCUGAAGAAACAAAUUUCACCAUUUUUUGAUCUGUAGUGCUCAAAGUCACUCAAAGGACACAAACAUCAUCAUUUUUCUGGCCUGAUGCAAAUUCUCAAACUUACUGGUACCUCCAGGAUGCAAACACAACUAGGCAUGACGUGCCUUGCCAGCACUUUUCUGGCUCUUUGGAGAUUAAAGAUGUUGCUUAUUUCAGUCUUAUUGACCCAGAGCACUUUUAGAGUGGGCUACCUGUCAUUCUGUGACAACACUUAUAGCAAAAUAGUAUUUCUAUCAGAUUUCUCUCUGCAUGAAAGCUCCUGAGGAUUAUGACCAUUUCACAGAGCAGCAGCUAGGAUAUAAAAGGAAUGUGAUUGUGCUGGGCCUGGCUGAGGCCCAUCUGCCUUUUACUGAUCCUUUCUGCAGCAGACACUGUAAGCUGGUGCCUUGAUAAAAGCCUAGCAGAGCAAGUAUAAAUGCUUCUUCCUGGACUGCUGUCCCAGCUUCCAACAGUUUUAAUGUCCUGAGCUGAAUGUGGAGUUUGUUCAUUUAGCAAACCUUGAUAGAUUUAAUUCCCAAGAUUUUUCCAGUCCUCCACUGAGCUAAUACUAAACUUUUGCAUUCACAGCAACCUUGUUGCACUGAUGAACUUGGUCCAUUGAGAGCACUGACCCUCUUGUCUCCUGUCUCCUGUUUUUAACAAUUACAUGCCUCAGAAGGACCAUCUCAUGACCAUACCUGAUGCUGUGUGAAAAAUAAUCCAGACUGACAUUUCAGAAUCAGUGGAGUACUGCAGGAGUGGGGGUGUGGAAGUACCCUUCCUUUGCCCACUGAAGUCUUUGUGCUUACAUUUUGUCUCUGUGAAGAGGAUGGGGAAAGUCUUAAGACAGAGAUUAAGAGAGAAAAAGUUUCUUAAAAUAGUUUUUGUGGGUAUUUUGUGAAGUACUAUGUGAAGCUCUUCAAGAGGCACAGGACUUCACUUGUGUGGUUUGCAUAGCAAAAUAGCUAAUGUAAAUGAAUUCAGAGAGAAAUCUCCCAAGCAAAAUCAGCCAUUCCUGAGAACAAAAUGUUGUCAUUAAUAAUUAGACCAAAAUGUGUGGUCAUUGUUGUCUUCUGUUAACCCUAAAGACCUUAAAAUAUCAACAAAAGGCUCCUUGUGGCUACACAGCUUUACAUCAGUGUUUAAAAAUUUUACAGUGCCAGGUCUGAUGUAGCUGCUGGGGAAAGAUCAUUCACAGAUUUAGUCCUAAAUUGCCCAAUGAAAUGAAGCAAAAUAUGAGAAAGGAGAAAAAAAUGCUCAAACAAAUCCAGCAUCUUGGGAGUAAGUCAUCUUCAUAGUUUUUCUCAACAUCUGAAUUACUGCUAAAUGAAUACAGGAGCAACAAUUUGCAGAAGACUGUCAGCUGUACUGUAAUGUUUUGAUAAAACAGAGAAAUGCUCAUAUAAGCCAUAGGCCUGAUAAGUCUGUGUGCACUGAGCAUGUACAAGAACUAAUAUGGCUGAAGUACAUGAGCAAAACUUUGUAAAAGACUGAAUUCAAGUUGCUGCUUCACAUCCUAUUCUGCUGUUUCACAGGAGGUGUGUAUAUAUGCUUUUCCCUAAAAUAUACAAUGAUGUAGGAGAAAAGAUAGUCAGUGCUCACAAUGGACCAGAUUCAUCAGUGCAACAAGGAUGCUGUGAAUGCAGAAGUUUAGGAUAACACAAUUUAUGACUGAACUGAAGAGUAACAGGAAAAAUUUACAGGAAGAAGGCAGGGGGCAGGCAAGAGUGCGUGUAGCAGAGCUGCUGGCUUGCAGCAAUCCUUAUUCAAUAUUGCAGCAGUUAACUCCUGCCUUUUAAAAAAGGAACUGUUUAAUUCCACUUUCCUAGAUGUGUCCAGGAGCCAACUCUGAGCUCUGACUAUUGCCACAUUCUGUCCUUGCGUGCGAGAUUAUAUUUCCCGAUAAGCAUGAAUAGAGUUCAAAUGAAUCUAUCAAUAAUCAGUGGAAAGGAUGUCAUAAUGCAAAGUCUGAUACUGUACAAAAAUAUACAAGUCCUUGAAAACAUUUAUUUGGAAAGGAACUGCUUUAUUCUUAACAUAGCUGCAGGUCUGGCAGCAACAGCUCAUGAAGAGGUGUGGGAAUUAGCUGAACAGACUCCCUGCUGGCAAGGAGAGCUAGGAGGCUGUAUGGUACUGAUAGGAGACUCCUCAUUUUUAAGUCCCAAUGGGUAAAGGAAGGUAAAUGAUUUUUCUUUGCUGAUGAAACACAUUGUGAGGCAAAGCCACAAUCGAGAAGGAAAAAAUAAGUGUUGAAUGGAAAUAAAAUCUCUAAACUCAAGUGAAAUAAGGUAUGUAAGAUUCUGGUUUCUUUUAAGUUGUCAUAAUCUCUUAGUUCAUCACAAUGAAUUCAGCUAAAAGAUGUAUGAGGAAGGUGGGGAAAGGAAGAGAUGGCUGAAAAUGAAACACACAUUUUUAAUUGCUCUAUUCCUAAUUCUUUGAUGUGGAUCUGCUUGUAAUUAAGCUAAACUAUUUUCAAUUGAAUUUUUCUUUGAAGUAUUUGCAGCAAUGCAGAGUAUGUGUGGUACUGUGCUGAGCCUAAGGAAAGGGCAAACAGAAAUUCUCCCUUGUCCUGUGAAUGCCACAGUCUCUCUAAGGACUCCCAUGACUACUAAGCGGGCACUUUUCCCAAAAUCUUCAUUUUGACAGCAUCAUUUAUAGGGAACUUAAACAGCACUCUGUAAUGAUGCCCUCUGGUGACUCCAAGAAUUUUUACACUAUAAUGAAAUAAAAAACAAGAUGGAAUUUGGGCUGCUAAGUGCAAGCUGGACUAUUCAUUAAAGAUUAAUGAGCAAAUCAGAGCUCCUAGAGCCCAAUCGGGUACUAUAUAUAAGCCAUACACAUACAGAGGUUCAGGACUGCCUCCAAGUGUAGGAGCAGAGCUGUAAUGUGUAAGACAGUCUCUCACCAACCAUGCAAGUGAUCUCUUGUACAUUAAUGAUAAAAAACCUGCCUUUUGGCACUGCAAAUUGAUAAUUUCUACUGCUUAGAGAAAAGAUGAAAUAAAAAGACUUCUUGAACUUUUCUUGAGGCAGAGAAUGUGGAGAAUAUUAAUUGAUUGUAUGAAAUCCUAGAAAUUAACCAGCUGUGCAAAGGAAUGUCUCUUGUUUAUUCUGCACUUACUGUGGCUGCCACGUAGUCUCUGGAAAGCUGAUUUCUUCCAUGCACUGUUUCCUCUCUGGAUAUUGCUUUUUAUAUGCACAAUCUGUCUGCAGCAUCUAAUACCUCUACAUUUACAGCCCAUCAUUUCCCCACCAUGCAGGCACACAUGACUAGCGUUGUACUGACUCUGGAGCCCGUGGUUCUUCCUCUGUUCUGGUUGAAAAGGACUCUUUAUUUGCAGGGUUGUGUUAUUUUACAGCUGGAUCUGCGGUUGUAUAGUGUCUGCAGACUAGUGGAGAUGGAAGGAAACAAGUAAUUGUGGCAGGGAAUGGAUGGAGUAGGUGUGGGCAGCCCCUUCAGUGUUGCUUCUGUUUUAAAUCAUGACUGUGAACCUUUGUCCUGAUCCAUAUGGAUGCAACACUGGCAAAGUAAUGAGAUUAACAGAACGCCAUUCACAAGCAGAUACAAGCAAGGUAAUGAAUAGGGGAUAAAUAAAAAAAAACCCAAAACAAACAAACCCAAACAAAACAAAAAAGCAAAAACAAACUACAACAAAAAACCAAAACAGAAAAAACCCCAAAACAAAAAAAAAAACCCAACCCAAAACAAAACGUAAAAAACCCCAAAACUGUGUUAAUAAGUUUGUAUGAGGUAUGAAGUAUUAACUGAUUACUUCACCUUUUUUAACUGAAUUCAAAUUAGGCUUAUACUCCCAAUAACUGUAUCUGUAACUCCUCUGCUUUUAAGCCCUCUUCCCCCAUGUCGUGCUUGGGAGAGGAUGCAUCUCUUCCCAUUCAUGUCUUUUGCACAACAGCCCCUUAGGCAUAGUGUAGAUCAGCUGGGUUUUAUGCAUAUUUUCUCUAAGAAAAACUAAAGGAGUAAACAAAAUAUUUGUUCUGACAAGAUGCCUACUUUGAUCAUAAAUGUUAAAAUCAGGAGGUGCAAGUAUGGGAAGUUCUUACUUCCCAAACAGUAUAAUCUGUAGAAUCUUCUUCAUUAACUUCUUCAUUAGGCCUGUAAUUUCCCUUUCAACUGCAGUUUGUAUUUUAGAAAAAUACCUUAUCUUGAUUUUACAGGCCAUUUAGUAUUUGUAGAGGACUGUGUGCUAUCAUUUUUAGGUCUGAUAAUGCAUCAGGGAAGAGCAGUUUUUCUGUACUAGCAUUUGCAGUGUUUCAGUGUACGUGUCUUGCAGUCACACAGUGCUUUCUCCUGCCUGAACAGUUACCCACGUUCUUUGAGGAGGAGAAUAUACCCUUUGAUAAUUGAUACAUCUUUAGUGCAAUAUCCAUGAAUGUAGCACACCAAAAUUAGUACUUUUCUUAGUGGCCAUGCCCAGCCUUUCAUUUCUAGCUAAGUGAUGUUUCAAAGAGCCCCUGCUUCCUUCAUGAUCAAAAUUAGAGUUGCUUACUCUGUCUGCUGGCCUGCUGAUUCUUUCACACAGGCUCAUGUAGCUCAACCAGUUGUCUUCAAGCUCCUCUUUCUUAUUGCAAAUUUAUGAUCACCAUGGUGUACUUGAGCAGUGAUUUUUGCUGUGCCCAACCAUCUUCCUCCGUAAAGGAACUUCAUUGCUCUUCAAAUUAGCCUCAGUGAAGCUGUCAGGCUCACUGCUCUGUCUUCAUCAGCUGGGAACUGAUCAAAGGUGAAAGAGCUGCUCCUACAGAUCAUCAUCCUGGGCAGGAGCAGCAGCAACUUACUCCAGGACAGGACAUGAAACUUGUCAUUUAGCUGAAGUUGCUGUGCAAAUGAGGUCACCAUAUUCCACUUCUCUCUGUGCUUUGUUAUGGUAGGUUUAGGAGUUUUGAACAGAGAGGUAUUGGCUACAAGAGGAGGGUUGUAGAAAUACGGAGAACCAUGAAGAGCUAUAGAGAAGUCUCACACCUGAGGUACGUGGAGAAUUAUCCUUCGAUGUCAUCGAUGAGAGGGAGUCUCCAGUCAGACAACUCCUCCACUGACGUGUUGAGGCAAGUGACUCAGCUCUGCAGUGAAGAAGAAUGUCCCUAGUGCAGCUUUCCCAGAAACACCUUCACCUGGAGGUUUCUUGCACAGGAAUUAAUUUGCUUGUGAAAACUCAUCAGUCCACAGAGCCUGGGGUGACAGAGUUGUGGGCAGAUUGCUCUCAUGGGGAUGAGGAUGCACAGUUGUAAGCAAGCCUAAUUAAGGCCUCUGACGAACUUUCCAGCGUAACUGCACCAGUAAUUGUCAGGAUCUAUGAAGUAAAUAAAGGUUAGUUUUUCUCUCUAGUUGCUAGCUAGUCCUGAGAGUUGCAGAAGUUUAUAAUCAUCCUAUCUUAUCAGGAAUGAAAUGCAUUGAGGCCUAUUAAAGCAGGCAGCAGUUGCUAUUCACUUGUGCUUUGUUAACAAAUAAAAGCUUUCAGAAAUAACACAAGAUGAGUCUGGCAGCUGUCAACUGACCUGUAAUUUUAAGAUUGGGGAAAUGAUUAGAAAAAGGAAGCAGAGCAUAGCAGAACUCACAGCCUGGUAAUUCCCAUGGGCUUAUCUGGAGCUUGAGCUGCUAUCAUGAGUGAGACCCUGAGUAUCUGAGUCUCCUGAACUUUACAGUUUUGCACUGCAAGUGACCCUUCUGGGAAAAAGAAGAGACAUAAAUGUUUCUGACAGAAUAGUUUUGUGAGCAGCUUUUUCCCUUCUAAGACAUCAGCCUUAUAAAUAGCUCUGAUACCAAGGUCUACUUACUCUAUAGACAUUAUAUCCUAGUCUUUUUUUUAAUUAAAAGUGAUUUGCUUUUGAAGGUGAUCAUUGCAGGGAGUAGCUCAGUUAUGAAGAUACUUGGGCCAAAUCUUCUGAAACUCCUGUAAACAAGCUAUGCUUGAUUCUGGCAGCACAAACCAGUUUCAAACCUGGUUUGAAAUGGCUAGCAUUCAUGGAAGUACACUGCCUAUGGCAAUGGACAGGAAAAAAAAAGUGCCAUCUAAACAGGUACCUGCUAUCAAGAAGCCCAGUUGGCAAGCAUUAUAUAGGAGAAGCAGUCUGGAGUCAGCACCUGAAAGCUGACUUUUCAUGUGGGACAGGAAAUUAUUGAAUAUCUGGAGUAUCUGGUUUAUUUGCUGUCAGCUUUUCAAUCUCCUAAACAAGAUAACUGCAGUGACACAUGGAGUUUGUGAGUGCCUGUGCUGGCAUUGUGAACACUCCUCUGCAUAGAAGAGGUGGUGAAGCAGAACAAUUAAAGCAUCCCACUGUGCAGCCAGAUGUGCAAGUUUAUGUCUUCAUUUGCUAGCCCCUCACCCAUGAAGGUGAAAGAGGUCUUUUGGGAACAGUUAAGUCCGAGGAAGCCAGGUGGUAUAUAUUAACCUCUUUCCUCCAGGACAGGGUUAACUGCAGAAAUGGAAGUGUCCUGUCCUUGUUCACCUGCUAGAUUACUCCAAUCUAGCAAACAUUUCAACUUUUCAGCCUGGAAUCAUUCAGUCUCUUAACUUGGUAUAAAAAUCUGUGUCUGUUGCCAUGUGCCCUUAGGAUGCUUCUUGACUUCCCAGGAUCAUCUGUCUUACAGUAAUACUUUCAACAUGUGCUUCAGAGUGAGGCACAAAUCCAAAGGGAUUCACUGGCUGUGUGACUGCAAAGGCACAUUCUUCUUUCCUGGCUCUGACAUAUAUACCUUGGGGAAUAUUUGAUUGAUGCAUAUGGUAAGAUAUCAGCAUGCAUUGAUUAAGUGUAUUCAGAAAAGGGUGUUCAAUUGCUAUUGCACAAGAAAAAAAUCAGCUUGUCCUUUUGAAACACCCUGGCAUGGUUGGAUUCAAGAAUUAUUUAUUAGGGAGACUUUAAAGUAGGAUGAAAGUAAGAAAUCCUACGAGAAAAAUUUCUGGUUGUUUCUUACAUUUUCUCCACCCCUCUCUCACCCUGAACUCUUCAAUAUGUUUAGAAGGAAAAUCCUUUCCAAACCCUUUCAAUCUAAAAUAUCAUCAGAUGGACCAAAAGGAAAUCUGAACUUGCCCCAGAAGCAUUCCUACAUUGAAAUAUUAAAUACUCCAGCCCCAGAGCUUGGGAUACAGGGAAACUACAAUUAGCAAGAUGUCCAUGCUGUUUGUGGAGGGGGAUCACAGAGUGUCUCACUCCUUGAAUGCUUCAGGGGACAGUUUGGCAGAGCAGAAGUUAGCCUUCAGUUUGAUGAUGUGGUAACUCUGGUGGCAAUACCAGCCCACAGACCUCUCUCUUGUUCUCUGUCCCUCCUUGCUGGUUUCCAUGCCAUUGGGCACAAUACUUGUGGCUGGAUUAAAGCAGGUUCCACAAACAGCACUGAAGAUCAGAACACUCACAGGACAGGCUGGUGGUGUCCUUUAAAGCCCAGCACUGAUCAGAUUUACAGCAGGACUCCACGAGCAGUGGCAUGCAGGUGAUGGCCUCUCCCAUCACUGGGGUGGUAAGGGUGCACUUGUGCACUGUGCUGCAUAAGGUCCAUGCUUUAAGCCUGUAGUUAUGUUCUAGAAGGCUCUGCUCCAGCUUCAACUCCAUCAAAUCAUGCUCCUGGGAAAAAAAAAAAAAACAUCAUAAAAUGUAGUAUCACUGUGCUUCAGAGCAGCUGAGGAUGUACAGGGAAGGUUUGGAUGCAGGUAAUAAUUUGCUGUUUAAGCUCCACCAAAACUGCUCAGUACUGUGACCUCUUUUAUUGAACAGCACUUACAAAACACUGCAUUCAGUAACAGGAUUUGAGGAGAGUUUAAAUUCAACAAAGAUGGAAAUACUAAAUCUACUAAACAACUAUAACUUCUCCUUGUCAUACUGGACGGGAAGGGAGAUAAAACACAUUUCACGCACUGCAAGAUUAGGUGAGAUAGAACUACCUCAAGUUUUGUAACACAGAUUUGUAUUUCUAACUGCUUGCUAAAAAGGAAAAAGGAAAAAAGGCUCUUUCUCUUACUCUAGUCAACUAUGAGUACAAGCAAUUAUGUAAGAACUUAUUUUUCUAUGACAUUUAUUGUUACAAAGAAAAUAAACUGCAUGCCAACAUUUAUUAUAAUUUCAUUAGUAUCCAAGUAGAUCUAAUUUAUGUGGAGGUUCUGUUUCCAAGAUGAGGAUCAAAUGAAUCUCAUCUGACAGACAAUUUAGUUAUAAAGGCUUCACAUGAGAACUGUUCUCCAACAGAAUGUAAACAAGACAUACUGAUUAAUAAGGUCAGACGUACAGUAGGGAGCUUAAUUAUGGCAGGACUCAUCAACCAGUAACACAUUCUAGACCUUCUCAAAUGGUACAAGUUAGCAUGCAGUAAAGCAAAAGUUUUAAAUUAACCCUAGUAUUUUACCCUCUGGGCAGUAGAACUAGAAGUUAGAGGAAGUAAGUUUAUAAACCGUAGAAGUAAUAUGAUUCCAUGUGACAAGUUUUAAAGACUUAAAUUUCUCCCAAAGACUCACAGAUUUUUACAGUGUUUAAUAUCACUCUAAUUAUUAAAUCUUGCAUGAAAACACCAAGGAAACAAACUGUAGCAUAAAUGUAACAUCUGAGACUUAAGAUUUAUGUUCUGGGAACUGACUGAAACCACACAAGCAGAAGAUUCAUGUAGCAAAAUGUUGCAAGGGCAUCCCUGCUAAAUGCCUUGUGGAAAGUGCUAAGCAAACUGGAAUAGUUCCAAAAUAUGUAGGUGUUACUGCUCUUCACAAUGCUGGGAUUUACUCCAUUAUUGCCCAAGUGACUCAGCUGAAAUUACCCACAAUCUUUUAGACAUACUUUACUUCAAUAAAAUUUGCCCUGGCCUUUCCUCUCUGUGGCUACAUGGCCUUAAUUCACCUAAAUUUCUGAAAUGGUGGUGCCAAGUGGUCUUGAUGACACCGCUGCACUUUUCAUAGCCCAAUGUUAUGUAGACUCAUCUGCAUUUUCAGGACAGUGUGUCAUUGCCUUCUAUCAACAUUUUCUUUGUUACUCUACUGACAAGAGAAAGAUAGUGCCUUCCCUGCUUUUGGACUGAGCUCUUUCUCUUCUGUGACUUUGCCAGUUGCUAAAUGACCUUGAAACUGAUUCCCAGACGCAGAAAAGUAGUUAUUUGAAGCCAUGAUGCUUAAUUAAACAGUCAGUCCAUGAAUCCUGUUUGUUCUUACUGCAGCAGAGCAAACAGGCCUUUUGUCAUUCAAAGAUGGAUUGGGCUAGAUCAGCUUUGUGCAGAUAAAAACACAAGGUUUCCACUUCUGUGUCUCACAUCUGUAUCUAGCAGGAUGAUAUCCCCUGAUGCUGUAGUGCACUACUCUUACAGAAAACAGGCUGUUCUUCCUGCCUUUUUAUCUAGAAUACUGUUCAACUUAAAUAUUGGAUGUGGAUUUGGUCAGUCAAUUCACAGCAGUUCAUGUAAUCUCAAAUGGAGAUUGAAAUCCAACCCAAUGCAUGAAUUGCAGUAUUUUGUUUUUAGGGCAGCCAGUGCCAGCUGCUUCAGCAGAAGGUUUAAGAGGCUCCUUAGAGGACAAGUAUAAAAUAUUCUUGAAUUCUACCUCUGAGCAUUUGAGGGACGGGGGCUCUGAAGCAGUGUGGUUUAUACAUCUACCAGCUUUUCAGUCCUGUCAAAAAAAUGUCUAACAUCCUCAUCACCCUCUUGACUGUCCAGUGAUGCUUUGGAACCUAACUCUCCACAAUACCUAUUGACAGGGAUUUUGUAGCUUGGCUUAAGGUGUCACCUUCCUCUGCUCUUAAAAAUCUACCAUUUGUAAUUGGCUUGCUUUCAAUUUCAUGUGUUUCUCUUAUUCACCUGUCAUACCAAGAUACAUACUGGAGCGCCUAAGCACUUUUCAUCUUCUGGUUCUAGUAUUUCACUCAGUAAAUUAGAUGCCAAUACUGUAAAUGUUCCCCUCCACCUCUCCUGGCUCCACAGGGAAGGAAGCCUAGGCAUGUUGGCCACCAAGAGAUGCUUUGGCCAGGUAUCAUGCAGGUCAGAGCAUCCAGUUCCCCAGAGUCUAGGUGCAGCUCUGGUGCUCUUUCUCUAUAUUCUGUUUGGGUAAAGUUAUCUGUAUAAUAUUUUACUUUCACAUAAAAUUUCCUAUAUUUAUCUCUUUUUUAAUCAAUAAUUAAUUCUCAUAUAAAUACCUUACUAUGCUCUUUAAGAUGAAGCAAAACAUACCACUGUUCUUUAUUAAGUCUUCUUAAGUACAUUGGGGGUCCCAAAGCCAAAACAGCUGCUCUUUUAUUUUGGAUGAGAGCCACAGACCCUAAAAACUGUGUAAGCACCCAAUUCCUUAAAAAAAUUAGUCACAAAAAAUAGAUCCUAAAAAUUCUGUAAGUACCUAAUUCCUUUAAAAAAUUUAGUCACAAAAAUAGAUUCUAAAGUACUUGUCCAUUUCUAGAAAUGCAAGCCAAACAAAGUGUGCUGAAACUUGCUUCUUUGGUUGUGAAUUUGCAAGACAAAACAAGAUAAGCUCUGUGUCUCACAAGGGUUCCUGUUACCAGCCAGGAGAAGGAAGAGGCCCUUCCUGGAGCAAGCAGCCAGGAAGAGACAGGACCUAGCAGCUAACAGGGAAAGAAACCUAUAAACUGAACUCUACUAGUGCUAGAUACUGAAUGGCACAAAAGAACUAUUGGACCCCAGGCUAACACUUUUCAAACCACUCUACUGACAACAUAUCAUAACCAGACCAGAACACAACUACAAAUAGGAGUAGGAAAUCUACGGACAUCAUGCCAAGAGAGUGAGUCAGUGUUAGUCAUUUGGUGCUUUUCUUAAUAAUUGGGGGUUUUGCUCAAAUACUACUGAAAAUCAUUUCUCUCCUCCCUUUGUAGUACCAGAGGGUAUUUGAUGUAUAUACAUGUGUAUAUUUUUUUUUCUCAGAUUUCAUGCCAUCACUUUGCCUGCCCAAAACAUUUACCAAACUUCUUACCAUCCUUAUUAAAAUUUAAACUUGUUUAUUAAAAUGAAUUCCCUCAAGCUUUCUAGCAAAGUGUCUCAGCCCUUUGCAAAGCACAAUUAGCACAGGGGACAGAAAGCUCUGUAGAGAAAAGGGAGAACUUGUGCUGUUUUGGUGACAUUAAUUCCCUUCAUCUUUAUACCCAUGUAAUCACUAGUGUACAGAAAGCAUGUUUAAUACUGAUCUAGCAGCAUCUUCCUAGUAUUAAAGUAUGCUGUACACAAAACAGUGAAGACAGCCCUUCUUAUAUUCUUUGACUAUUUUUUUUUAUUUUCAGGUUUUUAAAGCACUUCUUCUGAGAUUUAUAAUAACUGAUUAAAUAUCAAUAUAUUUAAUAAUGCAACCCAUAGUUACCCUUAAGUAUUUUAGUUUCUCAGCAUUCAGUGCUUUGAAACUCUGUACUACCAUUUGAAACAAACUAGGAAUAGCUCAUUUAAAGGAUUUUGCUAGAAGAUCCACUGAUCAACACUUGUAACUUACUUGAAAUGAUUUCUCAUGCCUCAAUUAAAAGCAGCCUUUACUAAUGGGUAACAGCUUUCUGUGGCAUUGAUACUCCCUCUUCUGCAAGCAAAGUCACACAUGCAGGGAGCUGCCUACGGGAUGGAGCAGAGCCCAGGGGAACACAGGGCACCACAGGCUAUUCUCACAUAUAUUGUGGCAGGUCUGCACUCCAAGGGACUGGUUUCUGGAGAACCCAAAAAGGUGUAAGUCUAUAACAUGCUUUACAGGUCAGCUGCAAGCUUCCUCCGUCCCAAAUGUGGAGAGCACCAGGUGGGCUGUUUUAUAUGUAAAGCAGUAUCUUAUGGGGAAGGCAAGUUUGGUCAUACUGAUUGAUUAAAUUGGAUUUUUUAAGGUUGACCUGAGAAAUCCACAAAGAACAUACAUCCAUAGAAAUGCCUUCUCUUCAUUAAGAAUGGUCAGUUAAGAGGGUCACUGAAAUCAGAAUCAAACAUCAUCUCUGUAGGUGUCACGGUCCAGUAGGGAGGUAAAUUUGGUUGAGAAAAAUGUCUUGUGUCAAACUAAGUACCAUCAGGGAGCUUUUUGUGUGGCAUGGAGCUAAACCAUCUAAAUCAGUACAGUGGUUCCUAGCCUGCUUUUGGCCUGAGGCAAAGAUGGUCACCCAGAUGAGGAUGAGCUAAGGUUUGGGAAUUAGCAUAUGCCAGGUGCCCUUUCCAGUGGGUAGCCUGGGUGAAGCCAUGCUGCUUUAGAGGCUGAGACUUCAAUAAUAAGGGUGUGGGCCAUUCUCUGCCAGGGAAUGGUUUCAGACAGGUUUAAAUUGCUUUAAUAAGUUAAUUUAUAUACAUGGAAUUGUGGAGUGUGGGUGAAACCUUAGAGGGACAGGCAUUGCAGCUGCUUUGGCUUUUCUCCUGCCCCAGGGGAUUCAGAUCUCCUUGUUGUGCAUGGAUUUUCUGCUGCUGCACAGGAGGAGAGUGUCUCCUGUUCCAAAUUUUGAGUAGUUUGGUAGCAAACAGAGGUGUGAGGAAGCAGAAUGGUCAUUGCAGGAGUGUUAUCAGUACCCAAAUACAUUAGUAUUACCCUGUACUGUUGGUUUCUUGCCAGAGGCCCCAGCUACAGAUCAGCUUCUGGGAGGGAAGGGAGACCUUUCCAAAAGGAGUAGGACCUUAUGUGAAGACUUUCUGUCCUGUGUGUCUCUGCUGCUAGAGAGCAGCUGUGGACCAUGUGUCAAUCACUGAUGAAGGUCACUCAUGAGGCAUAUUUUAGCAUUAUUCUCUGUGAUGAUCCCAUCACUACUGACCCACUCAGGUUGGCAGGUUGGGAAAGGUUGCAGUGCCUAUGGCUGCAUAUGUGAACAUAAGCACAUGAACUGUUUGUAAGGUACAAAACCCCAUCUUCCUCCCACUGCUGUACCUUUGCAGUGGCUCUUUUGAGUCAGGACUAAGAAAUUUGCAGAGCACCAGCAUCCCUUGUGUAAACAAACAUGCUUGCAGGCAGGCACUGGGGCCCUAUCAGAAAACAAGAUAGUUGGAAUGAUAAAGUACCAGUAUAGUCUUGAACAAGAUGGGUUUGCUAAGAAUGUGCAGCUUCAUUAAGGAGUUUUUGUGGGUUAAAGCAUGUUUGAGCUGGUAAAAGUAAAUGAGGGGUAGGCCCUGAUGCCCAUGCAAACACCCAAAAUGGCUGCACUCCUAAGGCAAAAUCUUGGAGCUGACAGAGUUCCUGCAGGGUGAAACUGCUGAGCAGAAAUUGCUAAAAUGCUUUAAUUAAACCACAGAGAGGAGGAGAAGGCAGAUGUUUCUCAGGAAGGAGAGCAUCUUUUGGUGUUUCCUCAUGGAACUCAAGUGCAAUGGAUCAGAGAGAAGUCAUUGCUUCAGACGGGAGCUCUGGCCCAAAUGUCAGCCCAUGGCAUCUUCCUGCCAAGAAGAAAAAGGAUGCUUACAAGCAAACCAGAGGAUGUGUUACAAACAAACCAGAGAAAUGUGGUUGGGGGGCUGGUACUGCCCCCUUGCCGUGGCAGCCCUCACUCCUGCCAUGGCAGGAGCUAGGUGGAGGAAUGUCCCCAGCAUGUCCAGACCCUGCUCUCUUGAUUAUUUUUUACAUGCUUAAUUUCUUUGGAAGUGUUCAGUUGAUUUAAAGCGCACAUCAAGGUGGCACGAAGAACAAACAAGCUCUCCACAGAAAUCCUGUGAAUUGUUGCUCUGCCAUUCACUGUUGCAGGCAAAAGAGGCACCAGGAGAUGCAAGAAGGAAAUCUUCAAAGUUAAUUAUUUACUGGUUUAUAGACUUUCAGCUACUUCAACCUGGCAGGUUUGAUAAGGAAGCCUGGAGUUUCAGCAGAAGCAAUUAGCGUGACUUCUAAGAGAUAUUAGUGAGUAAUUGUGCCAUUGUUUAUUUCCUGUAAAGCGAGACUACUAGAAAGGGUUUGUUUGCUGUUUGUAGAUUAUUUGUGUCAGGGUGGAUGGAUUCAUCAGGAGAAUGGCAAGUAGGAGCAAGAACAUUGCAAAGACUUUCUCCAUGACAGAACAAGGACAUGCACUUCUCCCCAUCUUGUUCACUAAUACAUCUCUUGCUUUUUUCCUUUGGUGUUAAUAAUGGUGAUGAUCCUCAGAGCCAGGUUUGUACUGGUAUUAGCCCUGAGAAGACACCAGGAGGGGAACAAGAGUGCCCUGAAUAAAUGGAUGCUGGCAAAGGGACAAAUCACAGGGCAGAUUUGUGCAUCAGUCCUAGAAGACGAUCAAAAAGAUGGAGGUAUCCUUGAUAAUCAAUAUUGAAAAAAACAGUGGAAGAAGUAGCAAAGCUUGUAUUUCCCUCCUUUUGCAAGUAGGUUUCCUUUUCCAGUUUAUAUCGCUUCCUGCCAGACAUGAAAUUGAACCCCUUUGUAUGCAGCUAUAAUCCAGUUCACCUCAAAUCAAUUCCUGUCAGCUCUGAAAAUGAAACAUGAGAACUACUAAAAAUAAGCCACAGCAGGGCAUGAAAUAAAUAAUCUACUGCUUUGUCCAGGGAGAAAUACUUUGUGACUUGGUCAUCAGCAAGUAAUUAUCCUUGCAGGAACUGGCUAAGAGGUUAACAUAUCUAAAGUGCAUAGCUGACCUUGCUGUGGGAAAGAUAGUAGCCUGGGGUACUUUUGAGGCCCUUUUCAGGUAUGAUUUUAAGAAUAAUGCUAUAGAACUUAUUUAGAAAGCCUCUCUUUUCAGCAGGGAGUGAUUUAUAAUUAGACUUUUUUUUUCUGGAAAUCCUGAGCAUUUGGGCACUUCAGAAUUUCUCAAGGCCAGUAUUAAAUUGUUACAACUUUUGGAAGCUCUGUGGAAGAUUAAGACCAAUGAACUGAGGAUGAAUGGGAAAUGUACUUUCUAAAAUGCUUUAGUCCAAACAAAUACCUAAAAUCUAUGUGUACCAGUACAGCCAGAAAACGAAGUAGAAAGGAAAAUUUUGCACACAAAGUACUGUUCAGCUUCAUGUUAGGAAAAACUGAUGUUGGGAAUCAGCAAAGCCAUCUGAAACAAACAGGUUAUCCCUCGGCAAGAGUACCUAAAGUUCUUUGUAAUGAAAAAAGACACAAUAACUCUUAGGAAAUCAUGUAAGUUAAUAUGAAGGAAAUCAUGUAAGUUAAUAUGAACCACCAAAGACAUCCCAAGGAUGGGAUGCAAGGCAAAAAUAAAAAAUAGGGCCUCUCAAGGCACUUUUGAAGUGAUGCUAAUCUGCAUCAGUGAAACCAAGAUUCCCACAAGCAGCACUGACCUUACAGUUAAUUUCUUUCAACACUUGUACUUAGGACUUUUAAUUCCAAGGUUUCUUGAAGGCUGAGUGGACUGAAUGGCAAAAAAGAAGUCUUGCCCACACUCCCUCCCUGUGUGCUCAACCUCAGCUGGGCUAAUUCUUUGCAGCUGCCCAGGCAGAGGGCCAGACCCUUCAGGUAGUGUAUUAUGGACAGAACAAGAGAAGGAGUUCUGGCAUCCUCACAAACAGUGCACCCUUGGGCAGGGGAAAGCCCAGAAAAUACCAAAGGGCCUGGUAUUGCUGUGCCACAUGGGCUUUGUAACAGCCAAGAUAAAGAGCAUCCAGCAAAGCAGUAUAAUGUAGCAGUGGGAUUGCAAAGGCUAGCCCAUGGAGAAGGGGAAGGGAUGUAGGUUAACGCAGCUCUCAUCAAUCAGGACACAUGGUUUUACAUAUCUUCAUAGGGACCUUUGAUGCAUGUGCACAAUAAAAUGAAUGUGGAUGUUAAAAACCUCUUCUGCACUAUAGUCCUGUAAUUCUGUUAUCCCUCCAUCCUCCCUCCCUCAUGCUGACUAAACCUCUAAUCCACUGUGUUUUGAGUUCUCUCUGUAAAUUUUUUUUCUGUUUAAAAAUGGUUGGUACCUUCCUGAUUUAAUUGCUUUACUAUUAUAUUUCUCUUCAAAUAAAUGCUUUCUGUUGUCGUCCAUCUUUGGCACAGCACCUUCCCUUCCCCUAACAGAAGCUGUCUCAUGGAAUCAAAGAAUGGUUUGGGUUGGAAGGGAUCUUAAAAGGCAUCUAUUUCCAACCCCCUUGCUGUGGAUAGGGACACCUUCCACUAGACCAGGUUGCUUAGAGAUCCAUCCAACCUUGAACACUUCCAGAGAUGGAGUAUCCACAACUUCUCUGGGCAACCUGUGCCAGUGUUUCACCACCCUGCUUGUAAAAAAUUUCUUCCUUAUAUCUAGCUUAAAUCUACCCUCUUUUAGUUUAAAACCAUCACCCCUUGUCCUAUCACUGAAGGCAACAGGAACACAUAUGUGAAGUGUAGAGAAUUUAGAAAUGAUUAAACAAAAACUCAUUAUCACAUUUGCCACAGAACUACUGCUUUGCUGCUGUUUACUGGGAUUCAGCUGGGAUAAUCUCUCUCUCAGUCUUUUACUUAGCUUUAAUGGCAACAGUAGGUGGGACUAGAUGACCUUUAGCAGUCCCUUCCAACCCAAACCAUUGUGCGUUUCCAAUUCAGAGGGGGAUGCUGGUCAGCGCUGGCCCGCACCCAAGGCCAGCCCAGGGCAGGCAGGCUCGCUGCGAGGAUGGCUGGGGUUGUGUGGCAGGAAGGAGCUGUUGUUUCCUGCUCGCUUUGCUGGCUGUUGCUCUGCUUAAAAUGGGAGGCCACAAACAGACAGAUUGGGAAAGCAAAGUCCGGUUGCAAAGUUUCAAGUGUUCUUGCUUAUGAAGGAGUAACAUUGCCCUUGUGAAGCAAGUGACUUGGAGAUUUAUAUUAGCACCAUCGGGACUGCCUGUCACCAGCCAAGGUCUAAGUGUUAUUUCUUAAAUGAAAUCAAAAGGCUGUCCUCCUGCAGGGAGGGUUGGCAGUCCCUGCGGUCUACCUCGGCAGGCCUGAAUCUGCCCAUCGGCUGGGCUGGGCUGUGCUGGGUUUGGAGAGUGGGCGACUGGAGAAGUGAGUGGCAGCAGCGUAGUGACCUCAGGCUGGGACAACUGGGGUGGGAAUGAAAGCCUCCAGCUGGCACCGCUCUCCGCAGAGUGCCGUCCUGUCUGCCACGUUUUUGGUUGGUGCCCGAUGAAGACGUGAGCCCUCCUCAGCUGUUCGCUGCAGCUGCGAUGCCAGGGAUGCCCUCAGAUCUGCGUUCAGGUCAGGACAGGCACUGCAGGCACUCGCUAAUCCCCUCCAGGAAAGUUCCUGCGCUUUAUUCCAAACACGCAAUUGGAACUGGUUAAUCCGAGCGGGUGGGCCGGUCUGGCGGCGCUGCCACAUGUGCUGCUCUGGAUGAAGGUCGGCUGCAGCCCCAGGGCAGUGACAAAGCAGCUGGUUCUGCCGUCCCCAGCCGGGCCUCUGCCUGCAGCCCUGAGAGCUUCUCCAAAUCCUCUGCAGUUCUGGGCCAUUUCCCGUGCAGCUUUUAGUGCUCUUUGUCCUUUCUUAGUUUAAAACAAGACUUCUGUUGCUUCUCUGGUGAGAUUAGUGAAGGCUAGAAGGAUAUUCAUCUUAAAUUUUCCCAUUGCAUCUUAUUAUAGACCCAGGUCACGAAGUAAUUUAUCGUAAAGAAGCAGAUGGUGUGAAAAUAUGACCAUUCCCAAAUUCCACAGCAUCCUAGCAGAUGACAUUUUAACCUUGACCUGUGUUUUUCUGUAGCCUGGUUUAUCUGGCUCAGGAGAAAUUUCAGGAAGUUGUGCAGAGCAAAAGGGUGCAGCUUGGUUUUCAUUGUUUUCACUGCUCCUGCUUGUAUACAGCACAGGAAAACAAGGGGAAAAUAUCCUUUUGCUGCAAGUCAAUCCCAUGUUUCUUGUGAGCCUUGAGUUCAAUCAAGCUUUGAUAAAAUGGAAACUGAGGGAAUGCAGAACACAUUGAGGGAAGCAUGGUGCUCAGUGCAGUGCAUGUGCUUUACAUUUGGCUGAAGGUUGUUUGCUUCUCCUUCCUCCUUCAAGUAAUUCCACUAGCGUCUAUACAUAAAUAACUUGACAUGGCAAACAUCAGCUCUGAAUCCACAAUUCUAUCUUUGCUCAGGAAGAUUAAUCUAAUUUUUUUUCCUUAUAAGUCUAAUGAAUCUUGAAAAUACUUCAUUUCCAGUCAAAUAAUGUUAAUUUGUUAUACUGCAUUUGCAUAACAUAUAUUGCAUCAGCUGGAAGCUAGGCUGCUUUGUGAGCUCUGGUAAAUUAAAUCAAGGAAGUCCCCUUCCUUCAGUUUAAGUUGCUUUUCCCAAGUCAUGACCCCUCUUCUUCCUCCUAACUGUUUUGUGACUCUUCCCCUCCUUCCCAGCUUCUCUGUGGAUGUUAAUGCUCUCUGAGGAGUCACUAGAUGACCCUGUAUACUCAUCCUAAUUGCCAGUUUCUAACAAUUAUGGCUUUUUAAAUGUAAGUGGCAAACGCCCUUCUGUGAGCCCCAUGACAGUCUCACCAAGUCCUGGCAGGGAGGUGCAGAGAAGAAUUAGGGGCAAUUCCUCUGUGAAUAACAGCAGGAAGAUUUGCUCAAGCCUGUCUUUCAGGGCUGUCUGGGUUUUACAUGCUGUGAUACACAGUCUCUGUACACAUACCACUGCACUCAGAAAUGCCUCAAUCAAGGCCAAAUAUUGCUUUGCUGAAAAUCUUGAUUCAAAACUUGAAAUGGAGGCUGCUUGCUAUGUACUAACAAUGGAUGACCCUCCUACUUACACAUUUUUGUUAUAUUUAUUUCAGUAGCUUCAAUUUCUGGAUGUAUGGAAGGCUUUGUUGUCAGAUUAAAAACCUCUGUAGUCAAAGUCAUCUCUCUUCCCUGUCUCAGGUAGCAUUUACUGUUGACUCAUCUGUGUCUGACUCACCUGAUGGCACAGCAGUUGCUUUCAGGACAAUCCUGAAAAUGGACAGUCAACCACAGGUAGGAAAUUUGGGACGCUGCAGGCAGAAUCACUGGUGGAGGUGGUGUUGUCCUAGGAGGAGCUGCCAUUCCCAUAGAUAGGUGAGAGAUCCUGCUGUGUCUUGGGAGCAAUGGGCACAUCCAGUGCAUCCUGCUGAGUGGUCAGACUUGUCCAGUACAGUCUCUGCAUAUUCAGUGGUCUUAGCGGUCACACAGAGAUGGACUUCACAGCAAGUGUCCUUCAUGUCUGACACAUGAAGUGUUUUGGACCACCUGUGCAAGUGCUGAGUGGGAUGUCCAAACUAUGCACAGUGUCACCAAUAGGGUCAGGAUGUACCAGACUUAACUGCACACACAGUUAUCAUGUAGGGCGCUUGAACAAAAUAUGUCAGUCCACUACAGGCUUCCCUUUCAGUCCCCAAGCUGGUGCUCCUCAAUGCAUUUUGGCACUGAUAAUCAUGUGGCCAUGGAGUGGGUUGAAGCAGCUCGCUGGUGGAGCUGACUGUGCACAUAGACAGGCGCCAGUAUUGGUACUGGAGAGGUGAUGGGAGCAGGCAGGAGCAGGCAGGGCUGUUCCCCUUGACAGCAGCUCAUGCUUAGAUUGACAUAAGCUAGCCAUGGCACCAGAUUCUCAGUGAUUCAUCUGGGAUUUUAGCAUGUUGGAUAGCCAAGGUAAAAAUGUGGCUGAGGCUCAUGCUUUGAUGAAGCUGAUGAAAACUUGAGACCAGCAGACAAAUUUCUGCUUCUGUCUGGUAAAGAGGGCAUAACUGCGACAAUUGGUAGUUCUGAUGGAGCUGGCCUGGACACAGGGUGGACUAAUCUGUGCCACAAGAAAGAACCAGGAUCACCAAACCAUGGGGCUGGACAUAUGUGAAGACAGAAAUUGCACCUGAUUUGGGUAAUGUAUCUGCUGAUCUUCUCCUAGUUAAAAUUUCUGACCAGUCCCAAGAAAAGGAUCCUACUGAUGUCUCACAGCUGUAGCAUACCAAGUACAUAGUUUUUUCUAGUAGCACAUUUGAUCCUUAACUGAGGCAGUGAAGUCCUGGGUUGUGGUGCUCAAACCCUGCUGAUUCUCUGUCUCUUUCUUUUGUGAUGAGCCCAAAACCUUUACAAAACUGCUGCAUAUCAGUGUCUUUGACUGGAUCUUCCCUUGACUUUGGGGGCUUGGAGGUAUCACUGGGCUUCUCACCUAACAACGUGGUGUGCAAAAUGUUCAUCUUGGUCUGGGCUGUCCUAGGGCUCUGGAAUACUGUGUCUUCAUAAAUAUUUCUCCUCCCUUGUCCUUCUGGAAAGUCAUUUCCCUUUACUUCCUGUUGUAUUAAACAAAUCUCUUUGCUUAAAAAGGGACUAACCAUCUGGCAUCUGGGAGAGAGAAGACAAAGGGAAGACAACACGUUGAGUGCUGGACUGUGGGUCAAAAUCUUCAUCUGUAAAAUGCUAACAUGGAAACAUGCUGAAAAAAGGAGCGAACAGGAGUGAGAACUGGGAAAACUGCUUCAGGCUGUUGUUUUCUGGCACAAUGCCCAGCAGGCACUGCACCAGGCAGCUCAGACCUGGAGCCUGUUUUCCCUGCUGUGUGCUGCCUGCGUCAUUUUCUGGCCUGGGACGACAUCUGGCUGGUGUAUUCUUUUCCACACCCCUGGAGGAGUGCUCUUUCUAGCUAGUUACUGCAGUGCUUGGCAUUAAAAUAUAGUGAAUUAGACUACAAAGUAGCAUAAGAUUGGCUUAAAAAUAAUGAGCUUCAAGUGCAGUUGAGCUUUGAGUACUUUUUGUUUGCCUUCUGGGUUAAAAAACUUUGCAAUAUGUGAUGUCCAUGAAUUCUUGCAUUUCACCAUGACUGUGAGUGCUCAGAAGUCACCUUAACAAUAGGGAAAAAAACCACCAAACAAACCAAAGCCACAAAAAACCCAACAAAAUAAAACAAACACAAUGCAUCCAUUUCUCUUUAUUGAGAAGUCCAGGAUAAAUUAUUUGGGUUUUUAGAUUAACACUAGUUAUUACAAACUCCAAAUUAAAAAAGAGGGUAAUUAGCAAUAGAAAGUAGAAGGGUGAUGGUGGGAAGACAAAAAUCACAGAAAUGGGGAAGAAGACUCAUUACCUUCAAGAGAUUGUUCAGUAAGAGGCAGGGACUGUUAUGAUGUAACACCACACAGUUGAGUCCAGAUUUUGAGUAUUUUUCCCAGUGCCUGGAAAGACUUCUCCCACUAGCAGACAAGGGUCCUAGAUGAACAGAAUUCACAGUCUGGAAACAGACACCACUGAGUGUAACACUGGUCUUCUACACCACCAAGCCAGCCUGUGUGCUUCAACAUCCACCAAGUUGUACCAGCACAAGGAACUUGGGCUUAACUUCUUUCACUUCCUUCUGGGUUUCAGCAGCACCUUUGCAUAACAACAUGUUCCGGUUUUCACUGACAACCUGUUGCAAAUCUUCCAAUCUACCCCAACAAUGCAGAACAAUUUUCAAUAAACCUGGGGUUUUUGUACAACAUGAAGCAGAAGACUGUGUGUUGGCAUAGUUGUGUAAUGUCCAGGUUGCAGGCACAGGUCUGGGUGCCACGUUAGCUCAACCUGAUUUUUUCUGGCUGGGGAAUUCUGGAGAAAACACAGCUACAAAUGUGAGGAUUACACACCAAUAAUUUCUCUGUUGGUCUAUAUACCUUUAUUACUUCUCAACACAGUAAUAAAGCUUUCUGGCUUUACCUCUUAGAGGUAGAAUGGAUAAGCUUAAAUGAAAUACAUCCCUUCCAACUAGAGCAAGAAUAUAAUUCAGUACCAAUGACAAGUUAGCACUAUUAGUACGUUGAAAUCUGGCCUCAGUGCACAUGCCUAUGAGUUAAAAACAUACUGUAAGAAGAUGGGAAUGGUACCCUUUAAGAGUGUAGCCACACACGUAGCAGCUGCUCUGAUAUUAUGUGUCAACAUCUCCCCAUUGGUAUUUACUUAAUUAUUGAUGCAUUUGUGGGAAUAAUGAAGUAUUGGAGCAACCUGCCCAGAAGCACCAUGUGCUUUUCACUGCUGAUGUUUACGGGACCUGAAUGGAUAGUGCCCUGACCCCGUGGAGCAGGAGGUUGCACUGGAGGCCACCCAAAGCCCAUCCAACAUGAGUAUUCCUGCAGUACUGUGACUCCAUUCAUCCCAGGCAUGGAUCUCAGGUUCUGGGAUUCUUCCCUGCACUUUCCAGUCUGUAAAAGUUCAGCUGAGGUUCUUCAUCCUCUGCAAUUCUUGUAAAAUGGAAAAAAAAAUCCAACAUGCUACUGAAAACCAGUAAAAUGUGGUGUGUUUGUGAGGUUUUUAUGAGUUCUGAAUACAGAUAUGUAUGUAUUUUGCUUUUCUACUUUGAAGCAGCCUAUAAGGGUAGAGAAGCAGCAGAAAAAAACCCCUAGGAAUAUAUAAUUAUAUAUAGCAUAUAUAUAAUAUAUGUUUUAUUUGGUGACAGCUCUCCCUGUGAGUACAGAAGCACAGUCUAGAAAUGACUGGGAAAUCUGAAUAUCACCUGCUGUGGUAGUUCCUCAGAGCUCAACACCAAGCAGUGACUCCUGUUCUGCAAAAGCAGCAGGCAGAGUUAUUAAGAUCAGGCACAGUUAUUAGUAAGUGUGCUCACAUACAUGCAAUGCAUGUUAUUUAACAAAUUCAUUUUGAAGGCCCGUUGUCUAAGGCCUCUGAGAAUAUUACCAGGUGCCUCAGUAUUAAAUGCAUGAAAUAUAUGUGUGUGGUGAUACUUUCUUAUUGCUUUGGGAGCUUUUCUGCCAAAAAUCCUGUCCCAACACUAGUGUUGGUUUUGGACUUCUUCCAGUUUACUUCUCUGGGCUUUGCUGUAUCCCCAGCCGUUUCCUUCCUCAGACUGUGCCUGUGUAUGAUGGCCCUGCCUCUGGUUCCUGUUCUCCAGCUCCUUUGGGAGUGGUUAGGGCCUAGGGACAUCUCUCUGGGAGGCUGCACAGCCUUACCAGGCAGGAAGAGUUUGUUGUUAUUGGUAUUCCUGCCACAGCCUGGGUCUCACUACACCCUCACAGCCUGCUUUUUCUCCUGAUCAAUGUAUAAAUGGGUUCUAGAGUCCCUGCAUUCUUCCUCUGGGAUUAGGGGCUUUAGCUGCUCCCAGCCUUCAGCCUGGUAAUCCAUAAUCAGAUUUCACCCUUUUAGCAUUUCUCAGAGCAAAUGCUACCUAGGAUGAUCUAAAUCUGAUUUUCUGUUCCUUUAGGCACCAUCAAUUUUCUAUGUUCUGUCACCUUUAAAGAUGCUUAUAGUUUCCUAUUGCAUUAUCAUAGUUCAUCAAUGCCACAUUCAGUAUCAUCUCAGAGCCAUUAUUUCAGAAGCCUCCUUAACCUCUGCUUUUUCAACUAGAGCAAUUUGGAGGAAUGCUGAUCAGUUAUGGUUGUCUCCUGGGUUUGACUUAAACUACCUAAAUUUCCCAUUCAUUCUGAUGCCUUGUACUUCUGCUGUUCUAUCCCUGCCUUCCAUGCUCCCAAACACCACUCAGAGCCUGCCUGGUUUAUGCUGGAGCUGAGAGUGGUCUGCAGACAACACCAAGCUGAGUGGUGCACUUGGCACGUCUGAGGGAUGGGAUGUCAUGGGGAGGGACAUGGACAAGCUCCAGAAGUGGGCCCAUGGCAACCUCAUGAAUUUCAACAAGGCCAAAUGCAGGGUCCUAGUGACAGGACAAGUGAUAAUGGUUUAAAACUGGUACAGAUUGCUCAGAGAUGCUGUGGAUGCUCCAUCCCUGGAAGUGUUCAAGGCCAGGGUGGAUGGGCUUUCAGCAUUCUGGUCUAAUGGAUGGUGUCCCUGCCCAUGGCAGAGGGCUGGAGCUGGGUGAUCUUUAAGGUCCCUUUGAACCCAAAAUGUUCUAUAAUUAUAUGGUUCUUUGAGAGGGUAAAUAGAAAUUAGUGUCUGUCCUAUCUGGGAAAUGCAGAAGCCUGCCCCUGGGAAAUGUUGGGAUCAAUAGGUCUGGAAAAUGCUUUUAAAAUGUUAAGCAAAGUUCUCAUCCACAUUUACAGAGAUAAAGCUUAUUCUCCUCAGUCUUAAGAAAUUCAAACGAAAACAUAGAUAUUCUCAAACUUCGUUUCAAACCUUAUGCAGUGUGAGUUAAUAUGGUGAUGGUUUAAUCUCUUGGAUUUUGCCCCGUUUCUGGGAGGCACGGGAGGUAACGCGUGCGCUGGUUUUGUUACCUUGCUCUCUAGGAAGGGAAACGCAAAGCUGCCUUUAGGUAACUCGCUCCCGGGAGCGACGCCCGCAGAGGCUGGUGCGCCAUUAGAUGGCAGCACAGAUAAGGACAACAUCCAUUGUGCCUGGUGCUGCUCCAGGAAAGCCUCUCCACUGCUUUCAGCAUCGCCGACGUACCUUGUGGGUGAAGAAUUUUCUCAUUACUUAAAGCAAAAUAAUUAAAAACCUGUAAAUGAGGAUUUUCAUAUUAUAUUAAAGCAUAUAAAAUAAAAAUUACUCCCUCCCCCCAAACAGAGAUGGCAUGUAUUAAGCUGGAAUUUCUUUCAGAAUUUCUGAAUUAUUUUAUUCCUUAUCCUUCUCAAGCAUACAUAAAUUCAGCUAUACUGACUAAAACAGCUUCUUUCUUGAUGACAUGUAUAGUAGCUUAUCACCUAAAAGCUCUUCUAGAAAGCUCCGUCACCAGCCAUCUCAGCUCAUGGCCUCAGGAGCAUAAUAUUUUACAUUACUUUCUGUUGCCAUUUGAGCAACUCAACAAAUACAGCAGGCACUUAGUAGACCCUCAGAAUAUUCCAGUGACACUUCCAACUAAUUUCAUUUCUUUAAUGGAAAAAAAAUCAAAGCAAAUGGAGAGGAGACAUAAUUUUGUUUUUCAGACUGAAUAUCUAGCUUAUUACUAAUUUUUCAUUGUGUUGGCUUAAAGUUAUAUAAAGGAGAAUCAAGGUGCUAAUUGCAUACCUGUAAGCCUGACAUUUGUGCUGACAUCCCCGAGUCUUGCCUGAUAUCUUGUGCGAAAGCCAUGCUUGAGAGUUGUCAAAGUGGUGAAGUUCCUGGUUUUUGCUGUGGCAGAGCAAAAUUCCUACCUUCCUGUACUGGGAUCUGACAGGGGUAUCCGGAGUCUGUGUAACUGGUAAUGUAGCUGAUGAUCUAGAGCACCUUCUGGUGUUACAACUGUGGGAAUGCUUUUAAAAAUAUGUGGUAAUCAUGUCAAAGAGAUUUCAUCCUAGCAUAUAGGAUUUUGACAAUCUUUAUUUCACUCUUCCCCUAAGAAAUUACGAACAAUAAUAUAUAAUUUUACUUAUUAAUAAUCCUAACAGCUAUACUAGGCUAAUAUAAAGCUACCUUGCACUUGACAAAAUCAGGAGUAAUAAUCCAUGUUGUUAUUCCAAUUUAAAAUUGGUUUGUGGAGGUUAGUGCAGCCCCAGCUCCUAGCUUUUUGGAGCAUUUUCACUUCCAGGCUGUUUUCCCGGGUGACUGAUGCUCAGCCUUGGAGGCUGGUCUCACACUGGUGAUCUCAGGAAGUACUUUGCAGCAACUUUUGGAGCUGUUUCAAAAGGAGAAGAGCUUUGUAGUGUCUCAUAGGCAAUUAGGGGUCACAUCUCCUCUUGGGAGUUGAUGAGCAUAAUGUGUCUGUUUAUACUUUUUUCCCCAGAGAUUUUCCUCUUGCAGAGGCAAUACUUCUCUCGUCACUUUGUGAAGUGGAAAAGCUGUGUAAAUGCCCCCCCCCCCCAUCUCCACCCCACCCCAUGGGGUUAUGAGACUAUCUGGAAGAAAGGAAGGAUAUAUCACUUUCCUUUUUGAAAUGAAAAAGACAUUUCAGAAGGCAGCGUAAAGUAACACUAAGCAAAAAUUUAAGAGAGACAUAUGGGUAGUAGAAAGCAUCACAUCAGUGUCUGCUCACUGCAAGCUUUGGCUUUGUGUUUCCAGCACCACGACACAAAUGUUAUUUCAUUUAAAUGGAAGAGAAUGGAUUUUUAUACUACAUAUUCUACCUUCUGCAGAAUUCCAGGCCUUCUGUGAAAGUCUCUACUCAAAUUAUUAAUGUAGGCCAUGUGUGCAUGUACUGCCAGUUACUCCAACAGCAGGCAAAGGCAUUCCAUUCUGUACAGAGCUCCUUGGGAAGGAGAAAUGUGUAAAUCUUUAGUACACGGGGAAAAAAGUGUUACUUUCUAGCACUACGUCAGAACCUAUUUCAGCAUAUGGCUGUCUUUUCAAUGUGAAAACUACUUAGGACAAACCUUGGGUGAGUUUUUUAUUUACUUUAAACUGCCUAGACCUUAUUCCAUUUCAAAUCCUCAGAGAAUCAGAUGAAACUACUAAAACUUUUAAAUGCUUGAAGGAUAUCAGACUAGCAGUGAAAACAGACAGAAAGGUACUGGACCCAGCAUUACAUUUUCCUCCCUAGAACAGGGAAAGAUGGAUAGUGUGAGGGAAGCUGAUCCGUUACUCAAAUUGAAAUGUGUCAGAACCUGGCAGUUUGGGCAUAAUUAGACCCCAGUCACAAUAAUUUCUAGACCAUCUCCAAAUGCAGAUACUGCUGCAUCAGCAGCAUGGAGGCAAAUCCAGCAUCUCUUUGACAAGGAAGUACUUACCUCUAGUUGGUGCAAACUGGAAUGAUGUGACAGCCCCUGAUGGCUGCAGUGUACCUUCACGUGCUGAAAUUAGGGGGUGAUCAACUUCUGAGCUUUACUGUGUCAUCCAAAUCACAUGUUUGGGAUUUCCAAUCUAUUUAUAAAUAACUGAAAUGCAUUGCCCAUAAAAAUGAACAGCAUGCUACAAACCUGGUAGUUCUCUAUUUAACCAUAAUUAACUUAUAAAUAAUUUACACUCUUCUUUCUCUUACUAUAAACCAAGAAUAAUUAGGAACUUUAUAUUGUUGCCCAUAUUUGGAUAUGUAGCUGGGUACCAGAGGGUGGAGAUGACUUACCAACAAGGUUCUCCUAGGAAUUUGACCCAUGCAUACAAAUCCCUGGACUCGUUAAGGGAUCCAAUUCUGCCUG